CGGAUUCUCUCCGUCAAGGAACGCGCGAAAAGUCUCCAUUCUCCGUUAACUCUCGAGGUUCCCGACCCUCGUGGGCUCCCAGCACUCGCGCAUUCUGUGUCGUUUCUGAAAACAAGACAAAAGAAAUUUUACCGUUCGCCUAUCUCAUCCUGUCACCGCGCCCCGAGUUCCACACAGAUUAACUCUUGCCUUCCUGGCGUCCGGUGAGUUUCCGGAGCUUUCCUACACUCGAACUCCGUACCUCUCUUCGCUCGCUUCCACGAUUUCCUUUCCACCUUCCCCUCUCUUCUUGCGCCGUUCUGUCGCCUUCUCUUCCGGUUGACCCUGGCGGUCGCGCUUGUCUCUGCUCCUCACUCAGCGCGUCCGGUCUCUCCUUUCUUGGAUUACUCUCAGCUUCUCUUCUCUCUUUCCUUUCUCCUCCUCGAUAUCCGCUCCAGCUCCCCGUCUCAUGUCACCAAAAACAUCACGCUACACUCUCCUGCCUCUCACGCCACAAGCUGCGAGCGAAGAAUGCGAAACUUAAACUGAGAAGUCGAGGAGGCGCAGACCGCAGAAGCAGGCGUUACGCCAGUCUGCGCGUCUUCCUUAUUUCUCUUCUUUCUCCUCACUCUGUCCUCCAGUCGACCGUCCGAGUUCUUCUCUCCCCUCUUUCUGCCCUUCUCAACGGUGCUGCUUUUCCUGCCUGGUCAACCUUCUCCGUCUGGACACUGGUCGAGAUGAACAGUGUUCUUCGCUUUUGUCUCUCGCCCAGAGCGCACCGAGGAGAACAAGAACUCCAGUGAAAAGUCUCAGAAGGAAGGGAGAAGAAGAAAGGCACUGAGGAGGAAAACCGAACGUAAAACGGAGACAGGGCUGCACAGGCAGACCAGCUGCGGUUGGGGGAGAAGAAGAAAUGCGGCAGAAAAACAAUGAAGAGUUUCAGUGAGGUAAAGAAAAAG
rnacentral:lncRNA from 1 species